GGGCCCCCAUGAUUUCCAGCACUGGGUGCUCCAACUGCCCCUCAGGACACUGCCCUCCCCCCUCCCCACUGGGCCUUUGGCACCUGGGCAUCUGAGGGGCAU
rfam:Loxodonta africana unplaced genomic scaffold scaffold_4, whole genome shotgun sequence.